GACGAACGCUGGCGGCGUGCUUAACACAUGCAAGUCGAACGGAAAGGCUCUGCUUUUGUGGGGUGCUCGAGUGGCGAACGGGUGAGUAACACGUGAGUAACCUGCCCUUGACUUUGGGAUAACUUCAGGAAACUGGGGCUAAUACCGGAUAGGAGCUCCUGCUGCAUGGUGGGGGUUGGAAAGUUUCGGCGGUUGGGGAUAGACUCGCGGCUUAUCAGCUUGUUGGUGGGGUAGUGGCUUACCAAGGCUUUGACGGGUAGCCGGCCUGAGAGGGUGACCGGCCACAUUGGGACUGAGAUACGGCCCAGACUCCUACGGGAGGCAGCAGUGGGGAAUAUUGCACAAUGGGCGGAAGCCUGAUGCAGCAACGCCGCGUGCGGGAUGACGGCCUUCGGGUUGUAAACCGCUUUCGCCUGUGACGAAGCGUGAGUGACGGUAAUGGGUAAAGAAGCACCGGCUAACUACGUG
rnacentral:rRNA from 1 species